rnacentral:lncRNA from 13 species
CCUCCACUGACAGCCCUAACAGAGGGGCCAGGCCGGGAGAGGAGAGGAGAGCAACCCCCAGUGUGGCCUGACCGAGAGACUCAAUGCCAAGCCCUUCUCCUCCUCAGACAGCCUAGUGAAGGUCCAGGAGGUAGCAAGCUGGCUUUUGGAAAUGAACCAGGAUCUGCUGUCGGGGGGCAGCAGGCGGGGCCUGGGGGGCCGGCGAGGGGGCCCGGGGGCCCAGCGAGGUAACGCCUCCUCCUCGGCCCGGACGCCCCAGGGCCAGCAGCCUGGAGAGGAGGCCGACGAGGAGGAGCACAUGAACCGGGUGGUGGAGGACCAAGAACACCAGCAGUCCAGAGUCCAGCCUGCGGCCUCGGCAGGGGGGGAAGGAGUGGAAGAACCGUGGACCUCCAGGGAGAAUGGACCCCAGGGAGACGGGGAGGAGGAGGAUGGAGGAGGAGUACCCAACGAGGUGAACGGAGGAGUGACUAAGGGCGGCCGGUGGAUGUGGGAGGCGGAGCGACGGCAACAGGGGGGGGAUGACGACGAGGAGGAGGAAGAGGAGAACAACAACAGUGGCAGCCAGCAGGGAGAGGAGGAGGAGGAAAGGACAGAGGGAGGAGAGCGAACGGGGAGGGAUGAGGAGGACGAGGAGGAGAUGGACCAGGACAGUGAUGACUUUGAGCAUUCGGAGGAGAGUGGGAGGGAGGAGGAAGAGGAGGAGGAGGGCGAGGAUGGCCUCCACUCACCCUCCCUCAGGAGUGAUGUGUCUGUCCCCAACAACAACCUGGACCAGUCCUCGGGAUGCCAACACCAAAGCUCACCCAUCAAGAAGAAGUGUGGCAGGCAGGAGGCGAGAAGUCUAUUCCCCAGACAGGAGCUGGUAGAUGGAGGCGGGCCUGCAUCAGACCUUCUCAGGUGGCAGGCUGGCAGAACAAACAGGAAGCCCUCGAACACACACACCUACACACAACGUGCGCACACACACAACGUGCGCACACGGGCUCAGAACAGUAAACCGACCUUGAGCGAAGCCAUCCCCACAUCAAACGCAGGUGUGUGUGUGUGUGGAAUCUUUUCUCUCCUUUGUUGUGGGGGCAAUGUUUGGAAAGAGACCGGUGAGGGCUGCCAACGGGGGCGUCAGUUUGCUGCAGUGCUGCCUAUAACUGCUGCUUGCUUACACUUAUAGCAGUUCUCCUGUCAUCAAUGGAAGACGAGAGCUUGUUAAAAUGGCCUCCCUUGGAAGGGGUCUGCAGAGCUCAAGUAUUAUCGGUUUUGCCAUGAUCACUUGUGAAUAAAACAUUUGAAAGCUUCUGAUUGAUGGAAGGUAUAAGGGGAAAGAGGCCAAUUGAAACUUUAUUAGCUCCGUGGGGACUUAAUGUUUUAACUUCUGUUUCUGUUCCACGUUGGGGGUUUUUCAACGGCCAAGUCUUACAAGUCUAUCUUUGCUCUCACAUGAGAGGGUAGCAGAACCCUGGAGCUACUUCUCCUAAUAGGACCAGGAUCUUACUUCCUGAAAGUGUGUCCCAAACAGAGGGGGUUAGGGAGUGUAGUCAUGUGGGUCAUGCGGGGACCUAAAAUAAAGUGCCCCCUUCAAGUCGUUUUUAAAAGGGGGAGAAAUGAAUACGUAGGAGUUCUUCGAGGAGUUUGGUGCAUGAAAGCGUUCGCUGGGAGCGCGUUUUAAUUAAAAGUGGGCCGCCUUUCCACAUAUCCUCUGGAGAGUUAUUUUUUCGGCUCCUCUGUAAAGAUGCUUUGGAAUUGUUUCAGGCUUCACGGCCGAUCCUGACAGGCCCUUUAAAAAGCUAAAAGCUCUCCUCUCCUUCCUCCCACUAAGGUUCAUUAGCACCCAGAGUCAAGGCAAAUGUUACCUUAAAGCUAUCCCUACCACAAAGCCCUUUUACAUAGUAUGUUUUAUUAUUCGCAUGGUCAGCUUUUUGAUUCUCAGCACUUUUUUCCUGGUAGCCCAAAUGAUCUCCACUCCACCCCCCUCUUCCCCACCCUCCCCUCUUCUCUGUCCGUCAGAGACAUUAAUGAGCAUAAAUACGGUGCUGUUGUUUUUGUACAUUGUUUCUAGGCCCCACCAUGGUGUGGUUAAUUUGCUGCAGACUGCAGUGCCCGCCCGGACUGCUGCAAAGCAGAGAUGCCCAGCCAGGUGUCAGGGAUUGAUGGAGUGGAAUCGGGGGUUGAUGAGGUCCAAUCCCCUACCCUCUGUUUACCCUUUUACAUCCUGGAAUGUGAGCCUCCUUACAAACAGACCCUUGUUCUAGAGGGGGAAUCCCUGACAGCGGCUCACUUGUCUCCCAUCCCUAACGAGGAGGAGGCUGUCCCUAUCCCUUCUCAUCUUGGGUCAUGCUUAUUCAGCGCUAAAUGGAAGAAAACGGAGACAAAGGGACUACCUGGACUCCCCCACCAUUUUAGUGUCACAGUCCUGCCCCCGUCCCUCAAUCAUUGGUCUCUUCACUCAUUACUGGCACUGGAAGCCUUCCCCUUCAUUUACCCAUUCACCACCACCCACUCUCAUAUAUAGGCUGUCCUUUACUGCGUAUAUAGGCUGUCCUUUACUGCGUAUAUAGGCUGUCCUUUACUACAUAUAUAGGCUGUCCUUUACUACAUAUAUAGGCUGUCCUUUACUACAUAUAUAGGCUGUCCUUUACUACAUACAGUGCCUUGCGAAAGUAUUCGGCCCCCUUGAACUUUGCGACCUUUUGCCACAUUUCAGGCUUCAAACAUAAAGAUAUAAAACUGUAUUUUUUUGUGAAGAAUCAACAACAAGUGGGACACAAUCAUGAAGUGGAACGACAUUUAUUGGAUAUUUCAAACUUUUUUAACAAAUCAAAAACUGAAAAAUUGGGCGUGCAAAAUUAUUCAGCCCCCUUAAGUUAAUACUUUGUAGCGCCACCUUUUGCUGCGAUUACAGCUGUAAGUCGCUUGGGGUAUGUCUCUAUCAGUUUUGCACAUCGAGAGACUGACAAUUUUUCCCAUUCCUCCUUGCAAAACAGCUCGAGCUCAGUGAGGUUGGAUGGAGAGCAUUUGUGAACAGCAGUUUUCAGUUCUUUCCACAGAUUCUCGAUUGGAUUCAGGUCUGGACUUUGACUUGGCCAUUCUAACACCUGGAUAUGUUUAUUUUUGAACCAUUCCAUUGUAGAUUUUGCUUUAUGUUUUGGAUCAUUGUCUUGUUGGAAGACAAAUCUCCGUCCCAGUCUCAGGUCUUUUGCAGACUCCAUCAGGUUUUCUUCCAGAAUGGUCCUGUAUUUGGCUCCAUCCAUCUUCCCAUCAAUUUUAACCAUCUUCCCUGUCCCUGCUGAAGAAAAGCAGGCCCAAACCAUGAUGCUGCCACCACCAUGUUUGACAGUGGGGAUGGUGUGUUCAGGGUGAUGAGCUGUGUUGCUUUUACGCCAAACAUAACGUUUUGCAUUGUUGCCAAAAAGUUCAAUUUUGGUUUCAUCUGACCAGAGUACCUUCUUCCACAUGUUUGGUGUGUCUCCCAGGUGGCUUGUGGCAAACUUUAAACAACACUUUUAUGGAUAUCUUUAAGAAAUGGCUUUCUUCUUGCCACUCUUCCAUAAAGGCCAGAUUUGUGCAACAUACAACUGAUUGUUGUGCUAUGGACAGAGUCUCCCACCUCAGCUGUAGAUCUCUGCAGUUCAUCCAGAGUGAUCAUGGGCCUCUUGGCUGCAUCUCUGAUCAGUCUUCUCCUUGUAUGAGCUGAAAGUUUAGAGGGACGGCCAGGUCUUGGUAGAUUUGCAGUGGUCUGAUACUCCUUCCAUUUCAAUAUUAUCGCUUGCACAGUGCUCCUUGAGGUGUUUAAAGCUUGGGAAAUCUUUUGUAUCCAAAUCCGGCUUUAAACUUCUUCACAACAGUAUCUCGGACCUGCCUGGUGUGUUCCUUGUUCUUCAUGAUUUUAUUUAUUUAUUUAUUUUAUUUUACCUUUAUUUAACCAGGUAGGCAAGUUGAGAACAAGUUCUCAUUUACAAUUGCGACCUGUUCUUCAUGAUGCUCUCUGCGCUUUUAACGGACCUCUGAGACUAUCACAGUGCAGGUGCAUUUAUACGGAGACUUGAUUACACACAGGUGGAUUGUAUUUAUCAUCAUUAGUCAUUUAGGUCAACAUUGGAUCAUUCAGAGAUCCUCACUGAAGUUCUGGAGAAAGUUUGCUGCACUGAAAGUAAAGGGGCUGAAUAAUUUUGCACGCCCAAUUUUUCAGUUUUUGAUUUGUUAAAAAAGUUUGAAAUAUCCAAUAAAUGUCGUUCCACUUCAUGAUUGUGUCCCACUUGUUGUUGAUUCUUCAC